rnacentral:tRNA from 1 species
GGGUGAUUAGCUCAGUUGGCUAGAGCAUCUCGUUUACACCGAGGAGGUCUGGGGUUCGAGUCCCUAAUCACCCACCA